rnacentral:lncRNA from 1 species
AGAGAACCUAGAAAUAAACAGAACCUGCAUCACAGCAAGGCUUUGUGCUGCCCAAGUCACAAGAGCAAGCUCCUGGAUAAGGAACCCCAUUCAUGCCUGCCCUUCUUCCAGUGAUUUUCUUAUCAUCCGAGUCAGUCAAAGGACAGCCACUGCACUAUCAUGGCAGGAGCUGGGAUGGGCUGGGCUGGGAGCCCCAUGCAUGAAAUACUGUCUGUGCAGCAGAAGAGCUCAGAGUUAAUGGGGAGAUCCUGGUAACAAAGCAAUAGGAUUCCCUAUGAUGAGUCCUUCCCUAGAGGCAGGCGUAUACUACUUCAUGCACACAAAGAGAGGACUAAUUGAUUCUCUUGAGAGAGUCACAGAAGAAGUGACGUUUGAAGUAGAUGUUGCAGGAUGCGCAGGAAUUGCCAAACAGAAGGAGAGAAAACAUGGCCUGUCAGAGACAACAUGGAGAGGGGGAGAGGCAUGAGAAAUCCCAGCAAUGCAUCCCUGGAUGGUGUUGCUAUCUGCUUCUCCAUCCCAUCCAUUUCCUUUCCUGGGUGUAUGUCACCAUCUGGCUGUCAACAAGCAUCAAAAUGAUGGACAGGACACACAGCUCCUGCAUUCUGAUAAUGGCAGGUGGCAUGGAGUCCACGCUGCACCCAAGUUCAAAUACAGUCACUGCAUUGCAUCUGUUACUUCCACCUGGAAGUCACCAAAGCAGAGAAGAAAGUGAAUUGGAAUUACCUGUCCCCUGCUUCGCUCCCAGCAGCACCCUGUUUCACUCUCUCAGUGCCCUCACCACAGUAGACUGUGUCUAGUUAUUUAUUUCCUUUACUAUUCUGUGAACUCCUUGAAGACAAAGGUGGUACCAUAUUCAUUUUUGUGAGUCUCAAGCAGUUACUAUUGUGUUCUCAAGACAGGUUUGCUGGAUGUUGGGAAAGAUUUGGAAGCCCUUGCUGUUUGGUAAAAAUGAGAGUCUCGAGAUUUUGAGGAGGAAAGGAGGCUGUGGACAACAAUGCCCUCCCCUCCCUCACCCAGAGUGACUCUUCCCUUAUCUUAGGAGAGCUUAUACAAGACCUACAUGCCGACACAGACAGCCUCUUGGGUGCUGCGUCCAUCUCCUGUCCUGUCACUCAGCAGCAGUCCCACCUUUCCCAGCUGCUUCAGUCUGGCACUUUUAAGACUCUGUAUCCUGCCUCUGAACUCCAGUUCACCAGGGAUCAAGACAACUUCGCGGAAAAGAGGAUGUUUGAAUCGGGCCCUGAAGGGUUUUGCUAAGAACAUGUGGGCACCAGGGAGGGCAUUCCAGCUGUCAGGGGUGACAGGAGAAUGCUCAGAAGCUGAGGAAGCCAAUGGGACUGGAGAGAGUGGUGAGUCAGUUUGAUAGAUGGGAGAUGAGCAGCCUGCAAUAACCUUGAAUUUCAAUAAAGGGGUGUAUGUUUCAUUCUUAAGGUGUGGG